AUGGGGCGCGCGUUCGUGUACGUCGUCCUGGGCGGCGGCGUGGCCGCGGGCUACGCGGCGCUCGAGUUCGCCCGCCGCGGCGGCUACUCCCGCGGCGAGCUCUGCAUCAUCUCCGAAGAGGCCGUUGCUCCUUAUGAACGCCCUGCAUUAAGCAAAGGCUAUUUACUCCCAGAAGAUCCUUCUCGUCUUCCAAAAUUCCAUACUUGUGUUGGAGCUAAUGAUGAGUUACUGACGACAAAAUGGUACAAAGAACAAGGUAUUGAACUUGUUCUUGGAACAAGAGUGAUAUCUGCUGAUGUGAGACGGAAGACAUUGCUUACAGCCACAGGAGAAACUAUCAGCUAUAAGACACUUAUAAUUGCAACAGGUGCUCGGGCUUUGAAGCUGGAAGAGUUUGGAAUAAGCGGUUCAGAUGCUGCAAACAUAUGUUAUUUGCGCAAUCUUGAAGAUGCGGAUAAAUUAGUGAAUGCGAUGAGCUCAUGUUCUGGUGGAAAUGCUGUUGUCAUCGGUGGUGGCUACAUAGGAAUGGAAUGUGCAGCAGCAUUGGUUACUAAUAAAAUAAAAGUAACCAUGGUCUUCCCUGAAAAACACUGCAUGGGUCGGCUAUUUACAGAAAAAAUUGCAGAAUAUUAUGAAAGCUACUACACUUCGAAAGGAGUUACUUUUACCAAAGGAACUGUUCUUACAUCCUUUGAAAAAGACUCAACAGGGAAGGUGACUUCGGUAGUCUUAAGAGAUGGUAAUCACCUUCCUGCUGAUAUGGUAGUAGUUGGUAUUGGGAUCCGUGCAAAUACCAGCCUUUUUGAAGGUCAGCUGCUGAUGGAGAAAGGUGGCAUAAAGGUAAACGGGCAAAUGCAAACCAGCGACAGCUCCGUGUAUGCUGUUGGUGAUGUCGCCGCAUUCCCUAUCAAGCUCUUUGACGGUGACAUUCGACGGCUUGAGCAUGUUGACUCGGCUCGUAGAACCGCGAGGCAUGCUGUCGCGGCCAUCCUGGAGCCUUCCAAAACCAGGGAUGUCGAUUACCUGCCAUUCUUCUACUCCAGAGUCUUCACACUGUCCUGGCAGUUCUACGGGGACAAUGUCGGAGAAGUAAUUCACUACGGCGACUUCACAAGCAACAGCCCGAUGUUCGGCGCAUACUGGGUCAGUAAGGGCCAGAUCACGGGCGCGUUCCUGGAAGGUGGGAACCGAGAUGACUACGAGGCCUUAUCUGUCGUUGUCCGGCGUAAAACCAAGGUCUCAGACAUGCCUGAACUUGAAAGACAAGGCCUGGCGUUCGCCAUCCAGGAAAGCAAGAAAGACGUGCCUGAUAGCGGGGUUACCCUCGGCGAAAAGCCCACCUUCGUAUGGUACGCGACGGCGGGGGUUGUUGCGGCAGUGUCGAUCUCCGCGUUCGGUUAUUGGUACGGCAGGAAGCGCCGCAGGUGGUGA
rnacentral:rRNA from 1 species